GACGAACGCUGGCGGCGUGCUUAACACAUGCAAGUCGAACGGUGAGGCGCCUUCCUUUUUGGUGGGUGUGGAUGAGUGGCGAACGGGGGAGUAACACGUGAGUAACCUGCUCCCUUCUUCUGGAUAACCGCAUGAAAGAGUGGCUAAUACGGGAUAUUUUGGGUCUGUCGCAUGAUUGGUCUGGGAAAGAUAUGGUUUCGGUGGGGGAUGGGCUCGCGUCGUAUUAGCUUGUUGGUGGGGUGAUGGCGUACCAAGGCGGCGAUGCGUAGCCGGCCUGAGAGGGUGAUCGGCGGCCAUGCAGGGGCUGCGAGACGGACACGCCUACUACGGGAGGCAGUAGUGAGGAAUAUUGAAUGAUGGGAGGAAGGCUGAUGCAGCGACGCGGCGUGAGGGAUGGAGGCCUUCGGGUUGUGAACCUCUUUCGCGGGUGAAGAAGGCCUGAAUUGUUUGUGGGUGGGUUGACGGUAGCUGAAUAAGAAGCGCCGGCUAACUACGUG
rnacentral:rRNA from 1 species